GCUCACUGCUCCUCUCCGCUGUCGCUCAGGCCCUUCCUUCUGCCUUGCCUUCGCUGGUUCCCGGCUGCAGCUCAGACACGGCGCCCUCUGUAGCUGACAGUGGGAGGCUCCUACCACACACCACUGCGUGGACUCAAAUACUGUGGGAAGGAAGGCCUGUGUGCGUUUGAAGGAAGAGGCAGGCUAACAAUGCAUCAAAUUCUUGCCCAAAGAAUUUUAACAGAACAUUUUAACAGAAGACAAGGAAAGUACUUGGGAGGGCGGGGUCAAGAGUGGCCGAAGUACUUGGAGGUUUUUGGAGGAGGCAGAAAAUGGGCUAGAGAGGAAGAGCCAGCCCACGGUGCAGUCACAGCCUCCCAACAUCUCAAGUGGUGAAGGAUCCUGCAGCCCCAAAGAUGGAAAUGGAACAGGAAUUCCCAAUGAAUUUCACAGAGAAUCUUGAGGCCUACCACUGCCCUGGGAGGACCUACUCAGACCAACAUGCAUCUUAAAUAUAAAUAUAAUGACACAGCAAUUCUCCAAACGCAAAGAAAUAAAAAAUGGCCUGUA